UUUCAGCUUGAUUCUAGCUGCAUUAUUAGCAUUUUUCUUAAACCAGAUACAUGUAAAUACUUAUGCCCCCGUGAGUAAGUUUUAUUAUUAUAAAUAAUAUUCAACAUAUUUUUUUAGUAAAUAAAAACUACAGUUUCAGGUUUUCCUAUAACACUUAUUAACUCUCACGCCUACAGUACCAAAUUCUGCGUAAUAAAAGACAUUUUGCACCGAUUUAAGAUUUUAGAGCUGGUAAAAUUCGUGCCAGCUACCGCGGUUAAACGAUCAGCCCAAGCUAAUUAACCCAGGAUUUUUCGGUUAAUUUUUUUACACUUGUAAUAAAUAUAAAAUAUCUAGGAGUAUAACCCACCUAUUUAUAAUCUUACCCUAAUUUACACUUAUACAACCCCGUGAAAGCUUAGACUAAAACAAGGAUUAGAUACCCAAUUAUUCUCAGCCAUAAAUAAAAUACCUAGGGUAGUACGAUCACAUGAUUAAAACCCAAAGAAAUUGGCGGCAUUCUAACGUCCCAGGGGAACCUGUCCUUUAAUUCGAUAAUCCACGAACAUCCUACUCUUUUUUGCAAAUCAGCUUAUGUAUUGCCGUCGUCAGUUAACCUUGCAAAAGUUACUCAAGUUAGCUUAAAGACAUAAUUACCAUGAUGUCAGGUCAAAAUAUAGCCUAUAAAAGAGAAGAGAUGGGUUACAUUAUUAUAAUACCCGAUUAACAACCUAAAUUAGUUAAAAAGAAGGACUUGGAAGUAAGAUUAAGAAAUUAUACUAAUCUGAAUUCAGUAAUCUAGAAUGAGCACAUAUCGCCCGUCGCCCUCGCUGAAAAGUGAGGUAAGUCGUAACAUAGUGGGUGUAACGGAAGUUGCCCCCGCCAUCAA
rnacentral:ncRNA from 1 species